GACGAACGCUGGCGGCGUGCUUAACACAUGCAAGUCGAACGGUAAGGCCUUCGGGUACACGAGUGGCGAACGGGUGAGUAACACGUGGGUGAUCUGCCCCCUACUCUGGGAUAAGCCUGGGAAACUGGGUCUAAUACCGGAUAUGACCUCCUGCUUCCUGGUGGGUGGUGGAAAGUUUUUUCGGUAGGGGAUGAGCCCGCGGCCUAUCAGCUUGUUGGUGGGGUAAUGGCCUACCAAGGCGACGACGGGUAGCCGGCCUGAGAGGGCGACCGGCCACACUGGGACUGAGACACGGCCCAGACUCCUACGGGAGGCAGCAGUGGGGAAUAUUGCACAAUGGGCGAAAGCCUGAUGCAGCGACGCCGCGUGGGGGAUGACGGCCUUCGGGUUGUAAACCCCUUUCAGUCGGGACGAAGCGCAAGUGACGGUACCGAUAGAAGAAGCACCGGCCAACUACGUGCCAGCCGCCGCCGUAAGAC
rnacentral:rRNA from 1 species